rnacentral:lncRNA from 1 species
UAAUUCAAAAGAAAAAGUUAUUUUUUACAUCAAGUGUGACCUUUCUAUAGAAUUCAAAAUAAAUUAUAUCCUUUUAUAACUAUAUCCCAACCUCCAUUAAGCUUUCUUCUAUUUUGUGCUAAACCGAUAACGCAUACCUCCUUCAAACUUCUUGUCUUCCUUAUAAUGGUGAAUUUAACGCAGUACAUCUUUUGUGAUUCUUCUUUCUCCUAUGGUGUUUUCGAGAUUCCUGGAAGUUUUGUGGACUGAGUAGUAUGGGCCUUAA